GACGAACGCUGGCGGCACGCCUAACACAUGCAAGUCGAACGGACUUACAAGAGCUUGCUUUUUUACGUUAGUGGCGGACGGGUGAGUAACACGUGAGCAACCUGCCUCUGAGAGUGGGAUAGCUUCUGGAAACGGAUGGUAAUACCCCAUAAAAUAUACAUAUCCCAUGAUAGCGAUAUCAAAGAAAUUCGCUCAGGGAUGGGCUCGCGUCUGAUUAGAUAGUUGGUGAGGUAACGGCUCACCAAGGCGACGAUCAGUAGCCGGGCUGGGAGGUUGAACGGCCACAUUUGGACUAAGACACAGCCCAGAAUCCUACGGGAGGCAGCAGUGGGUAAUAUUGCACAAUGGAGGGAACUCUGAUGCAGCGAUGCCGGGUGGAGGAAGAAGGUGUUCGGAUUGUAAACUCCUUUUAUCAGGGGCGAUAAUGACGGUACCUGAAGAAAAAGCUCCGGCUAACUACGUG
rnacentral:rRNA from 1 species